CCUCCAUUUCUUGGCAUGCUGGGUGUUGUCUGUACCCCCUGUGUGUUUUGUACAGAGGUAGAGGAUACCCGGUGCUAUGUCUUCGGUGCCAGCUCUUCUAUGAGCUGGUUCUAUUCUCAAUCACUGGGACACGU